rnacentral:lncRNA from 1 species
UUGAUUAGAACUCUUCUAAUCGAUUUAAGUCCAAACUGCGCGAACCCAAACUUAACAAUUAGAAUCCUUUCUAAUUGGUGAUCGAAUUAAACUCUUUAAUUCGAUCAAACCUAUAAGACAAGAUUGACGUCUAGCAACGUGUCAUGUCUAUCCGAAAAAUAUGGAAUUUGGUAGAAAUACCAAAAAUACCCUUCAGUGGCAAGUUACCGUGCAAUUCAAUCCUUUAAACAAACU